AUUGAACGCUGGCGGCAGGCCUAACACAUGCAAGUCGAGCGGAGCUGCGGACGGGUGAGUAUUGCCUAGGUAUCUGCCUGUUCGUGGGGGAUAACGUCCGGAACCGGGCGCUAUUACUGCAUCCUAUCAGAUGAGCCUAGGGCGGAUUAGCUAGUUGGUGGGGUAAAGGUCUACCAAGGCGACGACCCGUAACUGGUCUGAGAGGAUGAUCAGUCACACUGGAACUGAGACACGUUCCAGACUCCUACGGGAGGCAGCAUUGGGGAAUAUUGGACAAGUGGCGAAAGCCUGAUCCAGCCAUGCCGCGUGUGUGAAGAAGGUCUUCGGAUUGUAAAGCACUUUAAGUUGGGAGGCGUUACCAACAGAAUAAGCACCGGCUAACUUCGUGCCAGCCGCCGCGGUAAUUC
rnacentral:rRNA from 1 species